rnacentral:rRNA from 1 species
AGUGUUUAUUAGAUACAGAACCAAUACACCAUCUGUUAACCGCAGGUGGUGUAAAAAAGGUGAUUCAUAGUAACCGAACGGAUCGCAUUAUGGUCAUUUUCUUAUAUGGCUGGCGAUAGAUCAUUCAAGUUUCUGACCUAUCAGCUUUCGACGGUAGUGUAUUGGACUACCGUGGCAGUGACGGGUAACGGGGAAUUAGGGUUCGAUUCCGGUGAGGGAGCCUGAGAAACGGCUACCACAUCUAAGGAAGGCAGCAGGCGCGCAAAUUACCCAAUCCUGACUCAGGGAGGUAGUGACAAGAAAUAACAACACUGGAAAUUUUAUUUCUAGUGAUUGGAAUGAUGGGAGUUUAAACCCCUUUCAGAGUAACAAUUGGAGGGCAAGUCUGGUGCCAGCAGCCGCGGUAAUUCCAGCUCCAAUAGCGUAUAUUAAAGUUGUUGCGGUUAAAAAGCUCGUAGUUGGAUGUCUGCUGGAGGCAAUCAGUCCGCCCUAUUUGUAGGGUGUGCACUUGAUGAAUUCUGGCAUCUAUAUGUCCCAAUGAUAUGAUGGUGUAUAAUAGGUUAAUCCUAUAUACCCGUUUGUAUAUUGGGAUAAUACCGUUACUUUGAGAAAAUUAGAGUGUUUGAAGCAGGCUAAUUGCCUUGAAUACUGCAGCAUGGAAUAACAAUAUAGGAUUUCGGUUCUAUUUUGUUGGUUUCUAGGACUGAAAUAAUGAUUAAUAGGGACAGUUGGGGGCAUUCGUAUUUAACUGUCAGAGGUGAAAUUCUUAGAUUUGUUAAAGACGAACUACUGCGAAAGCAUUUGCCAAAGAUGUUUUCAUUAAUCAAGAACGAAAGUUAGGGGCUCGAAGACGAUCAGAUACCGUCGUAGCCUUAACCAUAAACUAUGCCGACUAGAGAUAGGAAACUGUCAUUUUUCUGACUUCUCCUGCACCUUAUGAGAAAUCAAAGUCUUUGGGCUCUGGGGGGAGUAUGGUCGCAAGGCUGAAACUUAAAGGAAUUGACGGAAGGGCACCACCAGGCG